rnacentral:rRNA from 1 species
UACGAAGGGGGCUAGCGUUGUUCGGAAUCACUGGGCGUAAAGGGCGCGUAGGCGGCCGAUCAAGUCGGGGGUGAAAGCCUGUGGCUCAACCACAGAAUUGCCUUCGAUACUGUUUGGCUUGAGACCGGAAGAGGUUAGUGGAACUGCGAGUGUAGAGGUGAAAUUCGUAGAUAUUCGCAAGAACACCAGUGGCGAAGGCGGCUGACUGGUCCGGUUCUGACGCUGAGGCGCGAAAAGCGUGGGGAGCGAACGGG